rnacentral:rRNA from 1 species
GGGGGAUAUUGCGCAAUGGGGGCAACCCUGACGCAGCAACGCCGCGUGAAGGAUGAAGGUUUUCGGAUUGUAAACUUCUUUUAUUAAGGACGAAACUUGACGGUACUUAAUGAAUAAGCUCCGGCUAACUACGUGCCAGCAGCCGCGGUAAUACGUAGGGAGCAAGCGUUGUCCGGAUUUACUGGGUGUAAAGGGUGCGUAGGCGGCUUUGCAAGUCAGAUGUGAAAUCUAUGGGCUCAACCCAUAAACUGCAUUUGAAACUGUAGAGCUUGAGUGAAGUAGAGGCAGGCGGAAUUCCCCGUGUAGCGGUGAAAUGCGUAGAGAUGGGGAGGAACACCAGUGGCGAAGGCGGCCUGCUGGGCUUUAACUGACGCUGAGGCACGAAAGCGUGGGUAGCAAACAGGAUUAGAUACCCUGGUAGUCCACGCUGUAAACGAUGAUUACUAGGUGUGGGGGGUCUGACCCCUUCCGUGCCGGAGUUAACACAAUAAGUAAUCCACCUGGGGAGUACGGCCGCAAGGUUGAAACUCAAAGGAAUUGACGGGGGCCCGCACAAGCAGUGGAGUAUGUGGUUUAAUUCGAAGCAACGCGAAGAACCUUACCAGGUCUUGACAUCCAACUAACGAAGUAGAGAUACAUUAGGUGCCCUUCGGGGAAAGUUGAGACAGGUGGUGCAUGGUUGUCGUCAGCUCGUGUCGUGAGAUGUUGGGUUAAGUCCCGCAACGAGCGCAACCCUUGCUAUUAGUUGCUACGCAAGAGCACUCUAAUAGGACUGCCGUUGACAAAACGGAGGAAGGUGGGGACGACGUCAAAUCAUCAUGCCCCUUAUGACCUGGGCUACACACGUACUACAAUGGAUGUUAACAGAGGGAAGCAAGACAGCGAUGUGGAGCAAACCCCUAAAAACAUUCUCAGUUCAGAUUGCAGGCUGCAACCCGCCUGCAUGAAGUCGGAAUUGCUAGUAAUCGCGGAUCAGCAUGCCGCGGUGAAUACGUUCCCG